UACGUAGGGGGCAAGCGUUAUCCGGAUUUACUGGGUGUAAAGGGAGCGUAGACGGCAGAGCAAGUCUGAAGUGAAAGCCCGCGGCUCAACUGCGGGACUGCUUUGGAAACUGCCCGGCUAGAGUGCUGGAGAGGUAAGCGGAAUUCCUAGUGUAGCGGUGAAAUGCGUAGAUAUUAGGAGGAACACCAGUGGCGAAGGCGGCUUACUGGACAGUAACUGACGUUGAGGCUCGAAAGCGUGGGGAGCAAACAGG
rnacentral:rRNA from 1 species